AGUCCAGUAGCACCUUAGAGACCAACUAAGUUUGUUCUGGGUAUAAUCUUUCGUGUGCAUGCACAAAAUCUGAAGAAGUAUGCAUCCACAGGAAAACUUAUACCCAGAACAAACAUAGUUGGUCUCUAAGGUGCUACUGGACA